rnacentral:rRNA from 1 species
UACGUAGGGUGCGAGCGUUGUCCGGAAUUACUGGGCGUAAAGAGCUCGUAGGUGGUUUGUCGCGUUGUCCGUGAAAACUCACAACUCAAUUGUGGGCGUGCGGGCGAUACGGGCAGACUGGAGUACUGCAGGGGAGACUGGAAUUCCUGGUGUAGCGGUGGAAUGCGCAGAUAUCAGGAGGAACACCGGUGGCGAAGGCGGGUCUCUGGGCAGUAACUGACGCUGAGGCGCGACAGCGUGGGGAGCAAACAGG